UGUCAUUUCUUUUCCUCGGUGGUUUUUUAUCUGGUGUUGGUGGUCUAGUUAGUCUAAGAUCUAACUUGUUCCUUCUUUGGCAUGCAGAUUCUUAAAGAAAGUCUUUCUUGAAGUUUAUUUGUGUGGCUUGUUGGUUUUUGUAGCGUUUUCAUGUUUCUUUUAUUAUUUUUUCCUUUGUAGCUUUUGGUACUCCAUGUACCAGAAUUUGAUUAUAUUAUAUAUGUACUUUGUUUAAA
rnacentral:lncRNA from 1 species